GCAAGAUCCACCAGAAACAGAAACAGACUAGGACUCUCUGAAAGCUCAGCUGAUUGUUAACAUUUUCUGGCAAUAUUUUUAAUCAAGGUCCUGGAAAUGGCUAGAAUCUGUCCUGAACUCUUGGCAUCUUCUGAUACUCAACGAUGGAGCACGGCGUGAACAUCAUCCUGCUGCCCUACACAAUAUUGUCUAGACUAUGGGUAGCUAAAAAAUC
rnacentral:lncRNA from 10 species